UGGGCCGUCGUCUAAUGGCAGGACAUCGGUUUUUGGUACCGAGUAUCAAGGUUCGAAUCCUUGCGGCCCAGCUA
rnacentral:tRNA from 1 species